UCAACUGAAACCAAAAAGAGGUUUAUUAUUGUUAAUAAUUUAAUUGAAUUUAAUAAUUCCCGUUGAA
rnacentral:tRNA from 1 species